UGAGGAAUCUUGCGCAAUGGACGAAAGUCUGACGCAGCCACGCCGCGUGCAGGACGAAGGCCCUACGGGUCGUAAACUGCUUUUGUCAGGGAAGAAACCGCGGGGUUCGCCCCGCGCUGACGGUACCUGUCGAAUAAGCACCGGCUAACUCCGUGCCAGCAGCCGCGGUAAUACGGAGGGUGCAAGCGUUGUCCGGAAUCAUUGGGUGUAAAGGGUGCGCAGGCGGGCUGCUAAGUCUGGGGUGAAAGGCCACGGCUCAACCGUGGAAGGUCCCUGGAUACUGGCGGUCUUGAAUGUGGGACAGGCCGGUGGAAUUCGAGGUGUAGCGGUGAAAUGCAUAGAUAUCUCGAAGAACACCAGUGGUGAAGACGGCCGGCUGGACCACGAUUGACGCUCAGGCACGAGAGCGUGGGGAGCGAACAG
rnacentral:rRNA from 1 species